CGGUAGCGCGUCUGACUCCAGAUCAGAAGGUUGGGUGUUCAAAUCACUCACGGGUCA
rnacentral:tRNA from 1 species